ensembl:lncRNA
AGUCGGCCCACCCUAACAGAAUUUUGCUUACCCGCGGACGCUAGAUUCGAAAAAGUUAUCUAGACAGCAUCAGCUGACGCCUGCAUAAAACAGAUUUCUCACUGCUGCUUUUAAACAAGGUUUAAAAGCAAACACAACUCGUGGUGCUUUUAAUUUCUUUCGAUUGUCUCCUUUUUCUUCUGAAAUUCACUUAUCACUUUCACGGCAGAUACAAACCAAGCAGACAGCCCUGAAACCAAUUGCUGUUUUCAUUCAAACUCAGAGAGAUGAAUAACAUCGGAGGUGUUUUCCUCGAGACAGAACGAGUAAAACCACAUCCUCCAUGCUGCACUUCACCCAAUUGUGAGUGCACGCUGGCUUUGCCUACCAGCAUAAUUGUGUGUGUAAUCUGUUUUUCUGGGUUUAUUGUGUUAAUGGUCAGGCAGACCAAACCUUUCACCGAUAAAAUGCAGAAAACCUCAGACUGUAUCACAUGGGCUGCUGCGAGUGCAACAACACCCAGCGCCUAAAACCUGCGAGACUUACUACUGCGGCUUUUAUGACACCGUAGUGUUCAGUCAUUUAACUAUUGUUUAUGUUUUCAGAGAAGCGCUGAUUAAUUAGAAUUAUAAUAACUAAGGCAGUAGGAAUCCUUGUCUCGGUCACAUGUGUGAAGGCCUCCAGCAUUAGGUUGCAUGAAGUCGUACAACUCUAUUCAUUUCAAUAGCCCAAAAUUGCAAAUUUGCUUCAGAGGGCUUUACAGUCUGUACACAAGUGACAUCCCCUGUCUGGAAACCCACACAUCAGAACAGGAAAAACUCCGCAAAAAAUGAACGGCAGAGGAGGAUCCCUCUUCCGGUUGCACAGAUUGCGAUAAAUGUCUGUACAGUAUGAACCACAUAAAAGAUGUACGAGUCCAAUUCAACAGACAUUCAAAUAUUGAAAGUAGUAAGCCAGGUGUACGGUAGGAACACUGCAGGGACAACCCCCAUCAGAUGUAACCACCAUCCACAGAAACCACAAAGACCUCAAGGUAGAAGCAAAGUCAGUAAUGCUGGCUCAUGAUGACAGUAACAGUACUAAUGGGACUAAUGAUGAUAUUAGAGGCGGUAGGUCUCAGCAGGGCCAUGACAGGAGGCAGGACUGGCAUUCAGAUAUAACCAUGACGUGUCGUAGUACUUUUACUGUUUUAUCCCAACUACUAGUGCCGCUAGCAGCCCACACACAAACAUCCCCCAAUUAACAAGAAUACGUUUCAGGAAAUCCCCUGCAAAGACAAUCUUCAACACACACAGUAACGAAAAGAAUUUACUUACGCCAUUUCCUCUAAGGUGCUUCCUAAUGGAUGUGAUUGCGCGGCGCACAGAAAAAUAAAAAUAUGAACUAUCGAUUUGUUGUGAAAAUAUACUGUCAACACCUUAUCUAAAAUGAAGUAAAGAAAUGCCUCAAAGGCAACAUGAUGACAUACAAUAUUAUUGUCAAACGGUAUGACCAAAAAAGCUUUUAAGCGCAUAUUCAGUGCAAUAAAGUGGAAAGAUGAACUACUUCUGCAAGUUUUUACCCAUUUCAUUAGUCUUUUUUUAUUGAUUAGAUCAAUGUAGCUAAAAAUAGUUCAGUCCGGAGAGACAUGUUAUUGAAACACAUUUCAACAUGUGUACAUAGUUAUUUCAUUAAAAGGUUGUUUAGAUAUAGAACUCAUGCCAUGCAAGUAAAGUUUCUCCAAGUGGACCGACCACAACAUGAGAAGGGUUGUACAAGCAAAUCACUGAUACUGAAGUUGUGGUACAAACUGACACUGGCAAAAUUAAAUCUUUCCUUGCUGAUCCACUGACUCCUUGGCGAUACACUUUGACCCUUCACCAAGUCUACACUGUUUUUAGUUUCGGAGGAGACCAAACACGACGUGUCAGGGAUGCGUGGAGGAGGCAGGACUCAAACGCAGACUUCUUGGAAAGCAAAAGACUUUAAUUGUCAAAAAGGCAAAAGCAAAAGGCCAAGGGGCAAAAACACACAGGAACCAGGGGAAAAACGGCAGACAGGAGCCACGAACAGCCACGACGAAAGACAAUGACGCGACAAGUGACACAAGAGACACACGGCUUAAAUACACAAGGGAGGUGCAGAUGAUUGGACACAGGUGGAAACUAUUAGAUGAUCGCCUCGGAGACACGGGAAACCUCCGGGGUCGGCGGCGGCAGCUCGGAGACACGGGAAACAUCCGGGGUAGUCGGCGGCAGCUCGGAGACACGGGAAACCUCCGCAGUCGGCGGCGGCUCAGGGACACGGAAAACCUCCGCAGUCGGCGGCGGCUCAGGGACACGGAACACCUCCGGGGUAGUAGUCGGCUCGGGGACACGGAACACCUCCGCAGUCGGCGGCGGCUCAGGGACACGGAAC